rnacentral:rRNA from 1 species
GAUGAACGCUGGCGGCGUGCCUAAUACAUGCAAGUCGAGCGAACAGACGAGGCGCUUGCUCCUCUGACGUUAGCGGCGGACGGGUGAGUAACACGUGGAUAACCUACCUAUAAGACUGGGAUAACUUCGGGAAACCGGAGCUAAUACCGGAUAAUAUAUUGAACCGCAUGGUUCAAUAGUGAAAGACGGUUUUGCUGUCACUUAUAGAUGGAUCCGAGCCGCAUUAGCUAGUUGGUAAGGUAACGGCUUACCAAGGCAACGAUGCGUAGCCGACCUGAGAGGGUGAUCGGCCACACUGGAACUGAGACACGGUCCAGACUCCUACGGGAGGCAGCAGUAGGGAAUCUUCCGCAAUGGGCGAAGGCCUGACGGAGCAACGCCGCGUGAGUGAUGAAGGUCUUCGGAUCGUAAAACUCUGUUAUUAGGGAAGAACAAAUGUGUAAGUAACUAUGCACGUCUUGACGGUACCUAAUCAGAAAGCCCCGGCUAACUACGUG